UACAGAGGUGGCAAGCGUUGUUCGGAAUUACUGGGCGUAAAGGGCGUGUAGGCGGUCUUCUAAGUCAGACGUGAAAUCCCCCGGCUUAACCUGGGAACUGCGUCUGAUACUGGGAGGCUUGAGUAUGGGAGAGGGAUGUAGAAUUCCAGGUGUAGCGGUGAAAUGCGUAGAUAUCUGGAGGAAUACCGGUGGCGAAGGCGGCAUCCUGGGCCAUUACUGACGCUUAAGCGCGAAAGCUAGGGGAGCAAACGGG
rnacentral:rRNA from 1 species